rnacentral:rRNA from 1 species
UACGUAGGUCCCGAGCGUUGUCCGGAUUUAUUGGGCGUAAAGCGAGCGCAGGCGGUUUGAUAAGUCUGAAGUUAAAGGCUGUGGCUCAACCAUUGUAUGCAUUGGAAACUGGUAGACUUGAGUGCAGGAGAGGAGAGUGGAAUUCCAUGUGUAGCGGUGAAAUGCGUAGAUAUAUGGAGGAACACCGGUGGCGAAAGCGGCUCUCUGGACUGUAACUGACACUGAGGCUCGAAAGCGUGGGUAGCAAACAGG